UGCAUAGGAAUCUGCCCGAUAGUGGGGGAUAACCUGGGGAAACCCAGGCUAAUACCGCAUACGUCCUACGGGAGAAAGGGGGCUCCGGCUCCCGCUAUGGGAUGAGCCUAUGUCGGAUUAGCUAGUUGGUGAGGUAACGGCUCACCAAGGCCACGAUCCGUAGCUGGUCUGAGAGGAUGAUCAGCCACAUCGGGACUGAGACACGGCCCGAACUCCUACGGGAGGCAGCAGUGGGGAAUAUUGGACAAUGGGGGAAACCCUGAUCCAGCCAUGCCGCGUGUGUGAAGAAGGCCCUCGGGUUGUAAAGCACUUUCAGCGAGGAAGAACGCCUAGCGGUUAAUACCCGCUAGGAAAGACAUCACUCGCAGAAGAAGCACCGGCUAACUCCGUGCCAGCAGCCGCGGUAAUACGGAGGGUGCAAGCGUUAAUCGGAAUUACUGGGCGUAAAGCGCGCGUAGGUGGCUUGAUAAGCCGGUUGUGAAAGCCCCGGGCUCAACCUGGGAACGGCAUCCGGAACUGUCAAGCUAGAGUGCAGGAGAGGAAGGUAGA
rnacentral:rRNA from 1 species